rnacentral:rRNA from 1 species
GGGUUGUGAGGUUAAGCGACUAAGCGUACACGGUGGAUGCCCUGGCAGUCAGAGGCGAUGAAGGACGUGCUAAUCUGCGAUAAGCGUCGGUAAGGUGAUAUGAACCGUUAUAACCGGCGAUUUCCGAAUGGGGAAACCCAGUGUGUUUCGACACACUAUCAUUAACUGAAUCCAUAGGUUAAUGAGGCGAACCGGGGGAACUGAAACAUCUAAGUACCCCGAGGAAAAGAAAUCAACCGAGAUUCCCCCAGUAGCGGCGAGCGAACGGGGAGCAGCCCAGAGCCUGAAUCAGUGUGUGUGUUAGUGGAAGCGUCUGGAAAGGCGCGCGAUACAGGGUGACAGCCCCGUACACAAAAAUGCACAUGCUGUGAGCUCGAUGAGUAGGGCGGGACACGUGGUAUCCUGUCUGAAUAUGGGGGGACCAUCCUCCAAGGCUAAAUACUCCUGACUGACCGAUAGUGAACCAGUACCGUGAGGGAAAGGCGAAAAGAACCCCGGCGAGGGGAGUGAAAAAGAACCUGAAACCGUGUACGUACAA